rnacentral:rRNA from 1 species
AGGAUGAACGCUGGCGGCGUGCCUAAUACAUGCAAGUCGAGCGGUAAGGCCCUUCGGGGUACACGAGCGGCGGACGGCUGAGUAACACGUAGGAACGUACCCCAAAGUGAGGGAUAAGCACCAGAAAUGGUGUCUAAUACCCCAUGUGCUCUUAGGAGUAAAGCUCCGGCGCUUUGGGAACGGCCUGCGCAUGAUUAGCUUGUUGGUGAGGUAAUAGCUCACCAAGGCGACGAUCAUUAGCUGGUCUGAGAGGAUGACCAGCCAGACUGGGACUGAGAACGGCCCAGACUCCUACGGGAGGCAGCAGUAGGGAAUUUUCCACAAUGGACGAAAGUCUGAUGGAGCAACGCCGCGUGCAGGAUGAAGGCCUUCGGGUUGUAAACUGCUUUUCUCUGUGACGAUUAGUGACGGUAACAGAGGAAUAAGGACCUGCUAACUACGCGCCAGCAGCCGC